rnacentral:rRNA from 1 species
GACAGAGGGUGCAAACGUUGUUCGGAAUUACUGGGCGUAAAGCGCGUGUAGGCGGCCCUGCAAGUCGGGUGUGAAAUCCCGUGGCUCAACCACGGAAGUGCACCCGAAACUGCCCAGCUGGAGUCUCGGAGAGGAAGGCAGAAUGCUUGGUGUAGAGGUGAAAUUCGUAGAUAUCAAGCGGAACACCGGUGGCGAAGGCGGCCAUCUGGAUCGUACCUGACGCUGAGAUACGAAAGCGUGGGGAGCAAACAGG